UGCUUCGUAACUCAGCUGGUAGAGCAUGCGCGUACAAAGCGUAGACGGCGUCCAGGUGUGGGUUCGAAUCCUACCGAGGCUA
rnacentral:tRNA from 1 species